GACGGAGGGGGCUAGCGUUGUUCGGAAUGACUGGGCGUAAAGGGCGCGUAGGCGGUUUUUUAAGUGAGGCGUGAAAGCCCUGGGCUUAACCCAGGAGGUGCGUUUCAUACUGGAAGACUUGAGUGCGAGAGAGGAAAGUGGAAUUCCUAGUGUAGAGGUGAAAUUCGUAGAUAUUAGGAAGAACACCCGUGGCGAAGGCGGCUUUCUGGCUCGCAACUGACGCUGAGGCGCGAAAGCGUGGGGAGCAAACAGG
rnacentral:rRNA from 1 species